AGAGCGAACGCUGGCGGCAUGCUUAACACAUGCAAGUCGCACGGGCAGGGGUAACCCUGUCAGUGGCGGACGGGUGAGUAACGCGUAGGUAUCUAUCCUUGGGUGGGGGACAACUGUGGGAAACUACAGCUAAUACCGCAUGAUAACUGAGGUUUAAAGGCGCAAGUCGCCUGAGGAGGAGCCUGCGUACGAUUAGCUAGUUGGUGGGGUAAAGGCCUACCAAGGCUGUGAUCGUUAGCUGGUCUGAGAGGAUGAUCAGCCACAUUGGGACUGAGACACGGCCCAAACUCCUACGGGAGGCAGCAGUGGGGAAUAUUGGACAAUGGGCGAAAGCCUGAUCCAGCAAUGCCGCGUGUGUGAAGAAGGUCUUCGGAUUGUAAAGCACUUUCGACGGGGACGAUGAUGACGGUACCCGUAGAAGAGCCCCGGCUAACUUCGCGCCAGCAGCCGC
rnacentral:rRNA from 1 species